CACAUCCUUAUCCAGCAAACUAUUAUAAGCUUCAAAGGGAACUGAGACUUUGUGCACUCAGCCCCUUCAUCUCAUCAAGGGCAGCUUUGUAGUUCUCUGAGUUGUGGGGUCUCUAGGCUGGGACCCAGGCUGGGGAGGCAGAGCACAGAUGUUCUAACCCAGGCCCCAGGGCCAGCCCCAGGCUGAUUACUUGUGAGGCAGUGCUGCAAUGUGCUCUUGGGAUACUCGACAGAUGUUUUUUGGAGCUGGCACCAGACUCUUCGUGGAGCCACGAAGCCAGCUUCCUGCCAAACCAUCCGUUUUCACCAUGAGAAAUGGGACAGCUGUUGCUUGCCUGGUGAAGGAUUUCUACCCUAAGGCUAUAAACAUAAGACUUGAAUCAUCCAAGAAACUAGAAGAGUAUGACACUGCAAUUGCCAUCUCUCCCAGUGGGAAGUACAGUGCUGUCAAGCUUGGUCGGUAUGCAGAUCCAAAUUCAGUGACCUGUUCAGUUGAACACAACAAUGAAAUUGUGCACUCCACUGACUUUGAGCCAAAGAAAAAACCUUCAGGUAAUACAAAACCAACAGAACCUGCAAACGUGGAGCAAACGUCAGAGAGCUUCUAUGCGCCCAAAGUUCAUCACAGUUCCGAGUUCACAACUGGAACAGUGAACAUGCUGUCCCUCACAGUGUUGGGGCUCCGGAUGGUGUUUGCCAAGAGUCUUGCCAUCAAUUUUGUCUUGACUGCCAAGUUAUUUUUCUUUUAAGGCUGACUGGUAUGCGAAGGCUUGAUUAUGAGACUCUUGCGUUAUGUCUUCACAAAAGCCUACAGAGGACUUGGCUCCUAGGCUUCUGACUUCUUGGUGAUUCAAGUUGACCUGUCCCAGCCUUGCUUGAAUGGCUGCUACCCAAACCAGUUUUCCUUCGAAGACAAUAAAUCCAGCUCAUUUUCCAGCCUGGUGGAAAGACAAAAGUCCUAGGGAGUACGGGGGUUAUGGUCCUAACUGCUUUAUAUGCUGCUUUAUAAAGAGAUACAGGACUCAUUCUCUUUUUAUUUCUACAACUGAUAUACUUUGAAAAAGGUGGUUUGUUUCUUUGACUUUCUUCAGAAGUAGAAAGUGAAAGUGGGAUCCAACAGAUUCCCAGCUCCAUGCUCCCCGAAGAAAAUAAAUCCUGGGGGAUAGAGAGCAGAUGCCCUUUACCUAACAUGAAUGGCUCUGCUCAGCCCAGCACUAGGUUUGCCCCUAGCUGGCCACAAAAGCAUUUUCUGCUUUUCCUAGUACUUUACAAACAAAAUUAUAUUUGACUUCUCAUGCAGCCAAUGGGGUUUCUAAAACCUCAUUUAAAUACUCUCCAAGCUAUUAGCAAAGAUCAGAGUAAAAUACAGAGAAAAUGUACUUCGUUCUAUUAAAUGAUUUCACAAACAUGAAUGGAGUCCCUCUAAGUUCUAGGCAAUGUGCCAAGGGUGCAAAGGGAGUUAAGGCAUGAGCCUAUUUUCAAGCAACUAACUGUGCAAGUGUUUCUUGAGGGAGGGAAUAGGAAUGAGACCCCUCAAUUUUGGCUGUAAAAACAUUAUCUUUACCAGGUUUUGCCUGCCUAUCUGUGCACGGGGCAUUUGAGUUCAGGCGACGCUGAUUCUGGCCUGCCCGAUGCUGUCGAUGGUUCUCUGCCCUUCCCAGUGCUGUUCUCUGUUGCAUUUAUUAAAGUACACUGAGUGUGC